GGAAUAGCAUUACAUAUACUAACAUUGGAAUGAUACAGAGAAGAUCAGCUUUCUCCCAGCCCAAGGAUGGCACCCAAAUCUGGGAAGUGUUCCAUAGUUUU
rnacentral:snRNA from 1 species